UACGAGGGGGGCAAGCGUUGUUCGGAAUUAUUGGGCGUAAAGGGCGCGUAGGCGGUGCGGUAAGUCACCUGUGAAAUCUCUGGGCUCAACUCAGAGUCUGCAGGCGAAACUGCCGUGCUGGAGUAUGGGAGAGGUGCGUGGAAUUCCCGGUGUAGCGGUGAAAUGCGUAGAUAUCGGGAGGAACAUCUGUGGCGAAAGCGGCGCACUGGACCAUAACUGACGCUGAGGCGCGAAAGCUAGGGGAGCAAACAGG
rnacentral:rRNA from 1 species